rnacentral:rRNA from 1 species
UAGAGUUUGAUCCUGGCUCAGGAUGAACGCUAGCUACAGGCUUAACACAUGCAAGUCGAGGGGCAUCGGGGACGAGGUUUCGGCCUUGUCUGCCGGCGACCGGCGAAUGGGUGAGUAACGCGUAUCCAACCUGCCCGUAUCCGGAGGACAGGCUUCCGAAAGGAAGAUUGACCCUCCAUGUGCUACAGAAAGACAUCUUUAAGUAGUAAAAGUUUUACGGAUACGGAUGGGGAUGCGUCCGAUUAGCCAGUUGGCGGGGUAACGGCCCACCAAGGCGACGAUCGGUAGGGGUUCUGAGAGGAAGGUCCCCCACAUUGGGACUGAGACACGGCCCAAACUCCUACGGGAGGCAGCAGUGAGGAAUAUUGGUCAAUGGCCGCGAGGCUGAACCAGCCAAGUAGCGUGCGGGAGGAAGGCCCUAUGGGUUGUAAACCGCUUUUAUACGGGAGUAAAGAGCUUCACGUGUGGAGCCUUGCAAGUACCGUAGGAAUAAGGACCGGCUAAUUCCGUGCCAGCAGCCGCGGUAAUACGGAAGGUCCGGGCGUUAUCCGGAUUUAUUGGGUUUAAAGGGAGCGCAGGCGGGAGUGCAGGUCAGUUGUGAAAUCCCGGGGCUUAACCUCGGGGCUGCAGUUGAAACCUCACAUCUUGAGUGAGCGCAAGGAUUGCGGAAUUCGUGGUGUAGCGGUGAAAUGCAUAGAUAUCACGAAGAACCCCGAUUGCGAAGGCAGCAAUCCGGAGCUUUACUGACGCUGAGGCUCGAAGGUGCGGGUAUCGAACAGGAUUAGAUACCCUGGUAGUCCGCACAGUAAACGAUGGAUACUCGUGGUUGGUCCUAAAGGGUCAGUCACCAAAGCAAAAGCGUUAAGUAUCCCACCUGGGGAGUACGCCGGCAACGGUGAAACUCAAAGGAAUUGACGGGGGCCCGCACAAGCGGAGGAACAUGUGGUUUAAUUCGAUGAUACGCGAGGAACCUUACCCGGGCUUGAAUUGCAGGUUUUGGUUUAGAGAUAGACCUUUCCCUUCGGGGUGCCUGUGAAGGUGCUGCAUGGUUGUCGUCAGCUCGUGCCGUGAGGUGUCGGCUUAAGUGCCGUAACGAGCGCAACCCCUUUCGUCAGUUGCCAUCAGGUUAAGCUGGGCACUCUGGCGACACUGCCACCGCAAGGUGUGAGGAAGGUGGGGAUGACGUCAAAUCAGCACGGCCCUUACGUCCGGGGCUACACACGUGUUACAAUGGGGCAUACAGAGCGUCGGCCUGUCGCAAGACUGGUCUAAUCGUGAAACUGUCCCUCAGUUCGGAUUGGGGUCUGCAACCCGACCCCAUGAAGCUGGAUUCGCUAGUAAUCGCGCAUCAGCCAUGGCGCGGUGAAUACGUUCCCGGGCCUUGCACAAACCGCCCGUCA